UGAGGAAUAUUGGUCAAUGGGCGCGAGCCUGAACCAGCCAAGUAGCGUGCAGGAUGACGGCCCUAUGGGUUGUAAACUGCUUUUAUGCGGGGAUAAAGUCGGCUACGUGUAGCCGUUUGUAGGUACCGCAUGAAUAAGGACCGGCUAAUUCCGUGCCAGCAGCCGCGGUAAU
rnacentral:rRNA from 1 species